AUGGCGGCGGCGGUGUUGGGGAGAGGGAGGUGGCGACCGGUGGUCGUCGCUGUGUUGAUGGUUGUUGCGGGGGUGGGCCAUGUCGUCGCCAACACGGAGGGUGAUGCUCUGUAUAACCUGCGUCAGAGUCUGAAGGAUAGCAAUAAUGUAUUGCAGAGUUGGGAUCCCACUCUUGUUAAUCCUUGUACAUGGUUUCAUGUUACAUGUAACAACGAUAACAGUGUAAUUAGAGUUGACCUUGGAAAUGCACAAUUAUCCGGUGUACUAGUGUCCCAGCUUGGGCAGCUGAAAAAUCUCCAAUAUUUGGAGCUUUACAGCAACAACAUAAGUGGGCCAAUACCUGCUGAACUGGGCAACCUAACUAGCCUGGUCAGUUUGGAUUUGUAUCUGAACAAGUUCACAGGAGUUAUUCCUGACAGCCUGGGGAAUCUUUUGAAGCUUCGAUUCCUCCGUCUUAACAACAACAGCAUGUCGGGUCAAAUUCCUAAAUCCUUGACUGAUAUCACUACUCUUCAAGUACUCGAUCUCUCAAACAACAACCUCUCAGGAGCAGUUCCAUCUACUGGCUCCUUUUCGCUCUUCACCCCUAUAAGUUUUGCGAAUAAUCCACUUCUUUGUGGUCCUGGUACCACAAAACCCUGCCCUGGGGAUCCUCCUUUUUCCCCACCUCCUCCAUACAAUCCUCCAACACCACCAACUCAAUCAGCAGGUGCCUCUAGCACUGGAGCUAUCGCAGGUGGCGUUGCUGCUGGUGCUGCACUGGUGUUUGCUGUUCCUGCUAUUGCAUUUGCAAUGUGGCGCCGUCGUAAACCUGAAGAACAUUUCUUCGAUGUGCCUGCCGAGGAAGAUCCAGAAGUUCAUCUUGGUCAGCUUAAGAAGUUCUCAUUGCGAGAGCUUCAAGUUGCAUCUGACAACUUUAAUAAUAAGAACAUUUUAGGAAGAGGUGGUUUUGGAAAAGUGUACAAGGGGAGGCUUGCAGAUGGUACAUUGGUAGCGGUGAAAAGACUAAAAGAGGAACGUACCCCUGGUGGCGAGCUUCAGUUCCAAACAGAAGUUGAGAUGAUUAGCAUGGCAGUGCAUAGGAACCUUCUCCGACUUCGUGGUUUUUGCAUGACACCUACUGAACGAUUACUAGUCUAUCCAUACAUGGCCAAUGGCAGUGUUGCAUCACGUUUGCGAGAGCGUCAGCCAUCUGAACCACCCCUUGAUUGGGAUACCAGAAGACGAAUUGCACUUGGAUCUGCAAGGGGACUCUCUUACUUGCACGAUCACUGUGAUCCCAAGAUCAUCCACCGUGAUGUCAAAGCUGCAAAUAUUCUUUUGGACGAGGAUUUCGAGGCGGUUGUGGGUGAUUUUGGGCUUGCCAAACUUAUGGAUUACAAGGAUACUCAUGUAACUACUGCUGUUCGUGGAACAAUUGGACACAUUGCUCCUGAGUACCUAUCCACUGGAAAGUCCUCUGAGAAGACUGAUGUUUUCGGCUACGGAAUCACACUUCUGGAGCUUAUUACUGGGCAGAGGGCAUUUGAUCUUGCUCGCCUUGCAAAUGAUGACGAUGUUAUGCUUCUUGACUGGGUGAAAGGAUUGUUGAAGGAGAAAAAAGUUGAGAUGCUGGUGGACCCAGACUUGCAGAGCAACUAUGAAGAGACCGAGGUGGAAUCUCUGAUCCAGGUAGCGCUGCUGUGCACGCAGGGCUCGCCAGUGGAGCGCCCCAAGAUGUCGGAGGUCGUGAGGAUGCUGGAAGGUGACGGCUUGGCAGAGAGAUGGGAGGAAUGGCAGAAGGUGGAGGUGGUCAGGCAGGAGGCAGAGUUGGCUCCUCUUCGCAACGACUGGAUUGUUGACUCCACAUAUAACCUCCGCGCCGUGGAACUGUCUGGCCCAAGAUGA
rnacentral:rRNA from 1 species